rnacentral:siRNA from 1 species
ACCGAAGAGAAGCUCCGCUCCGC